rnacentral:rRNA from 1 species
GGGGGAUAUUGCGCAAUGGGGGCAACCCUGACGCAGCAACGCCGCGUGAAGGAUGAAGGUUUUCGGAUUGUAAACUUCUUUUAUUAAGGACGAAAAAUGACGGUACUUAAUGAAUAAGCUCCGGCUAACUACGUGCCAGCAGCCGCGGUAAUACGUAGGGAGCAAGCGUUGUCCGGAUUUACUGGGUGUAAAGGGUGCGUAGGCGGCUUUGCAAGUCAGAUGUGAAAUCUAUGGGCUCAACCCAUAAACUGCAUUUGAAACUGUAGAGCUUGAGUGAAGUAGAGGCAGGCGGAAUUCCCCGUGUAGCGGUGAAAUGCGUAGAGAUGGGGAGGAACACCAGUGGCGAAGGCGGCCUGCUGGGCUUUAACUGACGCUGAGGCACGAAAGCGUGGGUAGCAAACAGGAUUAGAUACCCUGGUAGUCCACGCUGUAAACGAUGAUUACUAGGUGUGGGGGGUCUGACCCCUUCCGUGCCGGAGUUAACACAAUAAGUAAUCCACCUGGGGAGUACGGCCGCAAGGUUGAAACUCAAAGGAAUUGACGGGGGCCCGCACAAGCAGUGGAGUAUGUGGUUUAAUUCGAAGCAACGCGAAGAACCUUACCAGGUCUUGACAUCCAACUAACGAAGUAGAGAUACAUUAGGUGCCCUUCGGGGAAAGUUGAGACAGGUGGUGCAUGGUUGUCGUCAGCUCGUGUCGUGAGAUGUUGGGUUAAGUCCCGCAACGAGCGCAACCCUUGCUAUUAGUUGCUACGCAAGAGCACUCUAAUAGGACUGCCGUUGACAAAACGGAGGAAGGUGGGGACGACGUCAAAUCAUCAUGCCCCUUAUGACCUGGGCUACACACGUACUACAAUGGAUAUUAACAGAGGGAAGCAAGACAGCGAUGUGGAGCAAACCCCUAAAAACAUUCUCAGUUCAGAUUGCAGGCUGCAACCCGCCUGCAUGAAGAUGGAAUUGCUAGUAAUCGCGGAUCAGCAUGCCGCGGUGAAUACGUUCCCG